AACGUAGGUGGCAAGCGUUGUCCGGAUUUACUGGGCGUAAAGGGAGCGUAGGUGGAUAUUUAAGUGGGAUGUGAAAUACUCGGGCUUAACCUGAGUGCUGCAUUCCAAACUGGAUAUCUAGAGUGCAGGAGAGGAAAGUAGAAUUCCUAGUGUAGCGGUGAAAUGCGUAGAGAUUAGGAAGAAUACCAGUGGCGAAGGCGACUUUCUGGACUGUAACUGACACUGAGGCUCGAAAGAGUGGGGAGCAAACAGG
rnacentral:rRNA from 1 species